AAGGGUUGUCUCCUGCAUGUCGGUACAGAACCCCAGCGGAGGGUGCCCGAUGCUUCUGGGCACCAGGGCAGCACAAACAACAUCACUGAAAGAGAUGCAUCUGUAAAUUCCCACACCCGUGUCCUGUCUGUGUUGUCAGUGCUCACCCAGGAGUUUCCUGCUUUCCCGUGGCAGUUCCAAGCAGUGCCCACAGGGGAAGGCAGGCCCAGCUGCCAAGAAGUGGACAGGCAAACAGAGGCUGAUGUUCUGGACAACGCGUGUGGGGUUCUGCAGCACUCCUGUAGUUCACCUGCUCCAGUUGGGAGAUUCUUUUGGAGAAGCUCCCCCCUAAGCCUCCUCCUGCCUGAAGGAUGCGAGUGUGAAACCUUUGAUGAUGAUUUCCUAUGUGCAAGAAUGUGUGCUGCUGCUUUAAUGGGAGAAACUGAGUCAAGAAGGCAACAUGACCUGCCCAG
ensembl:lncRNA